CUACAUAUAUAUAUACACAUAUUUGAAACAGAAAAAAAACCCUUCCAGUUCUGAAGAAUGAAGGUAAAAACUGUCGGAACUGAAAAAUUAAUGUCAAGAAUUAACUGUAUUUAUUGUCAAUAUUAUUGACUAUUCUGUAGCUUUACAUGUAUUUCAUCCCUGCAUUAAAAUAAAAACAUUCAGAAUAACUCAAUACAGACUGUGCAACAAGAGCAACACAACCUGUAAUUUAAAAAGUGGUAAUAGCAUCUAGAAAGAAUUAAUUAUCCAAUUAAAACGUAUUCAUUAAAAAAAAAAAAACUUGAAGGAGAACUCAGCAGUCUUAACUUUUAUACACUCAAAAAAAGAGCCAAAAAGUAACAUUUUCUGUUCAAAAGCCUGUUCACAGUUCCAUACACAGGCACGAAGGCCUAAGGAAUGCACAGCUGGGCUAAACCGGACAAAAAUAAAGUGUGAGAACAGUGGCUUCUCUUUUAAUCACCUAAUAUUUAACUGGAUUCCAAGGAAAACUGUAGUCAGUUUUCAGAAGUUCUAUCAAAGCCAAGGAAUAAUGGAGUUAAGAGGGACAGGCAGGACAAGACCUGGCUUUAAGGCAGCUCAGCAUUCCUUCACCUGCCACAAAAAUGUCCCCAGAGAAGCUGGAAGGACAAGGAAUGUGCAAAGGCAUUUUGGCAUCUCCUCCACCAUCCCAACUUGGGGUUUGCUGCAAUUCCUUAUUCCCCAGAACUCCCAGAACUCCGUCUCUGUGCGUUAUUUACAGGAGGUCAUUCCAUGGGAUCACCCCAUGGAUGCAGCUGGAGUGACCCUAAGGAGGUCAUUCCAUGGGAUCACCCCAUGGAUGCAGCUGGAGGGACCCAAGGAGGUCAUUCCAUGGGAUCACCCCAUGGAUGCAGCUGGAAGUGACCUUGAGGAGGUCAUUCCAUGGGAUCACCCCAUGGAUGCAGCUGGAGGGACCCAAGGAGGUCAUUCCAUGGGAUCACCCCAUGGAUGCAGCUGGAAGGAGCCAAGGAGGUCAUUCCAUGGGAUCACCCCAUGGAUGCAGCUGGAAGGAGCCAAGGAGGUCAUUCCAUGGGAUCACCCCAUGGAUGCAGCUGGAGGGACCCAAGGAGGUCAUUCCAUGGGAUCACCCCAUGGAUGCAGCUGGAAGAGACCCUAAGGAGGUCAUUCCAUGGGAUCAGCCCAUGGAUGCAGCA